CAGACUAGAGCUAUAAAGCAUUUUAUUUACAUUAAAAAGUUAGUUGGUUAGUUCAACUUAGUUUGA
rnacentral:tRNA from 1 species